ensembl:lncRNA
GGGGGGGGGGGGGGGGGGGGGGGGGGGGGGGGGGGGGGGGGGGGGGGGGGGGGGGGGGGGGGGGGGGGGGGGGGGGGGGGGGGGGGGGGGGGGGGGGGGGGGGGGGGGGGGGGGGGGGGGGGUGUCCCCAGUUCUGUCCUGGGGUGUCCCAGCUCCACUUUGGGGUGUCCCAGCUCCAUCCUGGGGUGUCCCCAAUCCAUCCUGGGAUGUCUCCAGUUCUGUCCUGGGGUGUCCCCAGCUCCAUCCUCCAUUCUGGGGUGUCCCCAGUUCUGUCCUGGGGUGUCCCAGCUCCACUUUGGGGUGUCCCAGCUCCAUCCUGGGGUGUCCCCAAUCCAUCCUGGAAUGUCUCCAGUUCUGUCCUGGAGUGUCCCCAGCUCCAUCCUCCACCUUGGAGUGUCCCCAGUUCCAUCUUGGGGUGUCUCCUGCUCCAUCCUGGCGUGUCCCCAGUUCCAGGAUUCCACUUUGGGGUGUCCCCAGCCCCAUCCUGGGGUGUCCCCAACUCCAGAGUUCCAUCCUGGGCUGUCCCUUCACAACCAGGGUGGUGGCACCAACGAGGGGAAUCCAAAUUUCACUGCAGGGGUGACAUUAAAAAUUAAAAAAAAAAAAAAAAACAGCCUAAAACUAACAGGGAAGAAAAAAAAAUAACAACCCACCAAAAAAAAAAAAAAGGGGGGGGGGGGGGGGGGGGGGGGGGGGGUUAAUAUGUCUUAAAAAAAAAAAAAAAAAAAAAAAAAAAAAAAAAAACCUCCAAGACAGCAGAGCUUGAUGAGAGGAUGGAUCUCAGUUUGCAUAAUCCCAUAAAGGCAGAAAAACGACAGGAAUCACCUAAAAUAACCCGAACCCAAGCAGCAGCCAUCUGCCCCCAUUGCUCUAGGAUGGGAUGUAUCAUAAUAAAAAAUAAUUACAAAGAAACAACAAAAAAAAAUUACAUACAUAUGUACAGGCUACGUUGUAAACAGCACAAAACAAAAAAAAAACACAAAAAAGGAAAAAAACAGCUGGAAAGUGUGGUUGAACUUUUUAAGAGAAUAUUAUAAAUACUGUAAUAUAUCAUUUUAUUUUAUUGGCAUGCCUUUUUGUAAAUACAAAGAACUACAUAAAUUAUAGAAUGGCUUUGGCAUGCCUUUUUGUAAAUACAAAGAACUACAAAAAUUAUAGAAUGGCUUCUGGCUUAUGCCAUUGUCCAUGGUUAUUUUUAUUUUUUUAAGAUUUUUCUGUUGUCCUUAGAUUUUAGAUAGCCAGGAAAUAUCCCCCAAAGGAGAAAAAAAAUAUAAAUAAAAUACAACAACAACAACAAAAAAAAUAUUCCAAAUUAAAACCCAAUCCCCCCUUCCAAACAGCUUUUAACAAAAGCUUUAUUGCAAGUGAUAUUUGCAGCAGCAGAAAUGUUCAUUUUUGGGUUCCAAUGUGCAAUAAGUCGACCACUUCUAUGCAAGAUUUGGCUGAACUUUAAAUUGUUCUUAGGCUGGGCUGAGUCUUGGUGUGUUGGCAUUUGUGCUGGCAACUCAUGAAGCUGCUCCAUGACUUGAAAAUAAAAGGGGGGGGGGGGGGGGGGGGGGGGGGGGGGGGGGGGGGGGGGGGGGGGGGGGGGGGGGGGGGGGGGGGGGGGGGGGGGGGGGGGGGGGGGGGGGGGGGGGGGGGGGGGGGGG